AUCUGGGAGAUAGCCCUUGAUAAGAAUGGGCCCCUCUCUGUUGCAACAGAAUAGAUCAAUGUCAAGAUAUCGUUUCAGUUACUCUGUAUUUUAUGGGCGAUUUGGUUGUUGCUUGAUAACAG
rnacentral:snoRNA from 1 species